rnacentral:tRNA from 1 species
GGGAGUGUAGCUCAGUGGUAAAGCAUGUGAUUACUGGAACACACAAGGACAUAGGUUCAAAUCCUGCUAUCUCUC